CCUACGGGAGGCAGCAGUGAGGAAUAUUGGUCAAUGGCCGGAAGGCUGAACCAGCCAUGCCGCGUGAAGGUCAGUGCCCUAUGGGCGUUAAACUUCUUUUGUGCGGGAGCAAUAAUGGUCACGUGUGGCCAGACGAGAGUACCGUACGAAUAAGCAUCGGCUAACUCCGUUCCAGCAGCCGCGGUAAUACGGGGGAUGCAAGCGUUAUCCGGAUUUAUUGGGUUUAAAGGGUGCGUAGGCUGGGAGGUAAGUCAGCGGUGAAAUGCCACGGCUCAACGGGGUGAAGUGACAUUGAUGAUGCCUGGCUGGAAUGCGGAUGCCGUGGGAGGAAUGUGUGGUGUAGCGGUGAAAUGCAUAGAUAUCACACAGAACACCGAUUGCGAAGGCAUCUCACGAAUCCGCGAUUGACGCUGAUGCACGAAAGCGUGGGUAUCAAACAGGAUUAGAUACCCCUGUAGUC
rnacentral:rRNA from 1 species